rnacentral:rRNA from 1 species
UACGUAGGGGGCAAGCGUUGUCCGGAAUCAUUGGGCGUAAAGAGCGCGUAGGCGGUCCGGUAAGUCCGCUGUGAAAGUCAAGGGCUCAACCCUUGAAUGCCGGUGGAUACUGUCGGGCUAGAGUGCGGAAGAGGCGAGUGGAAUUCCUGGUGUAGCGGUGAAAUGCGCAGAUAUCAGGAGGAACACCGGUGGCGAAGGCGGGUCUCUGGACAGUUCCUGACGCUGAGGCACGAAGGUCAGGGGAGCAAACGGG